rnacentral:rRNA from 1 species
GACGAACCGUGCGAACGUUGUUCGGAUUCACUGGGCUUAAAGGGCGCGUAGGCGGCUUCUCAAGUCGGGGGUGAAAUCCUCUCGCUUAACGAGAGAAUUGCUUUCGAUACUGGGGAGCUGGAGGGAGGUAGGGGUGCGCGGAACUUCCGGUGGAGCGGUGAAAUGCGUAGAUAUCGGAAGGAACGCCGGUGGCGAAAGCGGCGCACUGGACCUUCACUGACGCUGAGGCGCGAAAGCCAGGGGAGCAAAC